rnacentral:lncRNA from 1 species
CCUUGGCUAUUGUGAGUGGUGCUGAAAUAAACAUGGAGUGCAUUCUCUUUCACAUACUGAUUGGUAUGACUUAGAUAUGAAGUGCCCCUCCAAAACUCAUGUGUUAGACAAUCCAAGAAAGUUUAUAAAGUGAAAUGACUGAGCUAUGAGAACCUUAACCUAAUCAAUACAUUAAUCCAGUUUAAUGGAUUAUCUGGGUGGUAACCAUAGGUGGGUAGGGUAUGGCUGGAGGAGGUAGGUCAUUGGAGAUGUACUUUUGGGAUAUAUGUUUCAUCCCUGGUGAGGGGAGCACUCUCUUUUCUUCCUUGUGGCCAAGUCCUGAACCACUUUCAUCAACCACUUCCUUUCACUGUGAGGUUCUGUCUCAUCUUGGGUACAGAGCAAUGGAAUUGGCCGUCUAUGAACUGAGACCUCUGAAAUCAUGACUGCCAAAUAAAUGUUUAUCCUCUAAAAUUCUUCUUUCUAGGUCUUUUGAUCAUAGUGACAAAAAAGCUGACUAAACUCUGAUUUCAUUUUCUUUGAGUUUAUAUACUAUAAUGAAAUGGCUGGAUCAUACGAUAAUUCUAUUUUGGGGAGUUUUGAAGAACCUGCAUACUGUUACUAUAGUUAAUAAUGUAUUUUGCAUUUCAAAAUAGCUAAAUGUGAGAAUUAUAAGUGUUUUCACCACAAGGAAAGGAAGAUUACUUGAGUUGUUGGUUAUUGCUAAUUACAUUGAUUUGAUCAUUCCACAGUCUAUACAUGUAGGAAAACAUCUAUUUGAGGUCAGGUGCAGUGGUGCAUUCCUGUAAUCCCAGCAGCUCCAGAGGCUGAGGCAGGAGGAUUGCCAGUUCAAAGCCAGUCUCAGCAAUUUAGUGAGAACCUAAGGAAUUUAUUGAGACCCAGUCUCUAAAUAAAAUAUAAAGAGGGUUGGGAUAUGGCUCUGAGGUUAAGCACCCCUGGGGUCAAUCCCUGGUAGCAAACAAACAAAAUACCAAAAAAAAAAAUAUCUAUUUGAAGCUCAUAACUAUAUACAGUUAUCUUUCAGUUAAAAAUAAAACUUUAAAAAAACAACACCAUAUCAAAAACCAGCACACUUAUG